UACGUAGGGUGCAAGCGUUAAUCGGAAUUACUGGGCGUAAAGCGUGCGCAGGCGGUGAUGUAAGACAGUUGUGAAAUCCCCGGGCUCAACCUGGGAACUGCAUCUGUGACUGCAUUGCUGGAGUGCGGCAGAGGGGGAUGGAAUUCCGCGUGUAGCAGUGAAAUGCGUAGAUAUCAAGAGGAACACCUGAGGUGAAGACGGGUUGCUGGGCUGACACGUGACGCUGGAUGCGCGAAAGCCAGGGGAGCAA
rnacentral:rRNA from 1 species